AAGCAGCUGCCUCUCCACUGGACAUCCUCCCUAGACCUUUGGAAGAAUGGAGGACCUCUACCUGUGGUUCACGAUCUUAGAUGGUAUGCAUCUUGUUCCUCUUUCAGACACAGGUGAAAAUUGAAGUUUCUAGAAACUGGAGUUUCCUUCUCAUCUUGUUGGCAUCUUCCCCUGGGGAGAGGGGUAAUACCUCCACAGGAACCUAGAGGUGAUGGUGUCCAGUAGCCAUGAGAUACCUGCUGCCCAGAAUGGGUUUCUAAAGGCUAUUAAAAGGAACCAGAUCUCUUGGAGAAUGGCUGAUCCUAGGCUUGAUUCAAGGAAAGUUCAAGGUGAGAAUGGGAAUCUUACCAUGCCAGAAAGCAAAAAAGUGUCAAAAGCCAAUGAAGUCAUGUCGAAAGGUUAAGGACUAGCUUGACAGCCUUCCCACCAGGGAAGAAUUUUAGAAGAAUUUGAGCAUUAUUAAGAAUGAUAAAUGUUAGUGAUUGUAAAAUGUGGAGUAAAUAAAAAUAUCUACAUCUGUAGUUAUAAAAAAGAAAGGAAGAAUGAGAAAAAGAGGAGGUCUGGAAGUAACUACUGUAAAACUCUUUCCUCUGGAAAUGGGUAACGAUGUGGAAAAAUUAGCAUUUACUCUGCCUUUAUAAACCAAUCAGUGGUUCAUCUCAAGUUGAUGAGGAAAUGCUUCUCAUCAUGGGAGAAUGCCAGCUAAGAAAUAUAAAGGAUGACAGAAUUUAAAAACAAUUAUUCAACUCUCAUAUGCUAUGGGGAGAAACACAAGAUGGUCCAGCCACCAUGAAAAAGAAUUUAGCAGUUUCUUAUGAAGUUAAACACACAUUUACUAAACAACUUAGUGAUUCUACUUCUAAGUAUUUACCCAAGUGAAAUGAAAACUUUAGUUCACACAAAGGCCUGGAAGAGAAUGUUUCUACGACUUUAUUUGGAAUUGCUCCAAACUGAACACAACCCAUCUGUCCUUCAAUUUGGGAAUUUGGGACUGAAUAAACAAGCUGGCAUACAAUGGAACACAAUGGAAUACGUGGAAUACGGUUCAGUAAUAAAAAGGAAAAAACUGCUGAUGCAUAGAACAACAUGGAGGGAUCUCAAAUGCAUUGUGCUAAGUGAAAAAAAAAACCAGACUCAAAAGGCUGUACAAUGUAUAAUUCUAGGUGUGUGACAUUCUGGAAAAAGCAAAUCUAACAGGACAGAAAAAAGAUCAGUGGCUGCCAGGGGCUGGGGCUGGGCGAGAGUUGACAUGGAGGAAUUUGGAGGGGAUAGUGGAACUGCUCUAUAUCUUUUUUUUUUUUUUUUUGAGAUGGAG
rnacentral:lncRNA from 10 species